rnacentral:rRNA from 1 species
UGGAGUAACACGUGGGUAACCGUGCCUGCACAGGGGGAGUAACAGCUGGAAACGGCUGUUAAUACCGCAUAUGCACACGCUGCCGCAUGGCAGAGGGUGGAAAGAUUUAUCGGUGCAGGAUGGGCCCGCGUCGGAUUAACUAGUUGGCAGGGUAACGGCCUACCAAGGUGAUGAUCCGUAGCCGACCUGAGAGGGUGACCGGCCACAUUGGGACUGAGACACGGCCCAAACUCCUACGGGAGGCAGCAGUGGGGGAUAUUGCACAAUGGGCGGAAGCCUGAUGCAGCGACGCCGCGUGAAGGAAGAAGUAUUUCGGUAUGUAAACUUCUAUCAGCGGGGAAGAAGAUGACGGUACCCGACUAAGAAGCCCCGGCUAACUACGUGCCAGCAGCAGC